rnacentral:rRNA from 1 species
UACGUAGGGGGCAAGCGUUGUCCGGAUUUAUUGGGCGUAAAGAGCGUGUAGGCGGUUAUACAGGUCCGCUGUGAAAACUGGAGGCUUAACCUCCAGACGUCGGUGGAAACCUUAUAACUAGAGUCCGGAAGAGGAGAGUGGAAUUCCUGGUGUAGCGGUGAAAUGCGCAGAUAUCAGGAAGAACACCCGUGGCGAAGGCGGCUCUCUGGGACGGUACUGACGCUGAGACGCGAAAGCGUGGGGAGCGAACAGG